AGGGGAAAAAAAGACAAGUAAAGACUCGAUAAAAAAAUUAACUUUAAUGAGCAUGAGAAUGCCUCUGAGAAUUUGCUUGGAUCAGUAGUUUUCUGCACAGAUGAGUGUGAUAUGGGGCUCUGCAAUGUUCCAAGCAGGACAGUGCUAAGGUUUAAUAUCGCAGCUAAAAUCUGCAUGUUUUGCUUUCAAGAAGCCAGACUUUCUCACAACUGGUUUUAGUGGCCAAAAUACCUGAAAUCUGAGAUUUUUAGUUUUAUGCCAUUCUCUGCUUAAAAGCAAAAGGUUAAAAGUGUCUCUUGUAUGAAUGAUCCUAUUUUGGUUAAUUCAUAUAUUAUGUAGAUUUUAAAAAUGAUUUAACUUGAAGUAUUGUUUAAUGUCUCUUGAGAAUGCAAUUUUGUGGAAUUGGGAUAUAUUUUUGAAGCCGUUAUGUGAGAACAGUUCUAGUUAGUUUCAUCUUCCAGGAUAGAUCAUUUACCUUCUUGGUCUUUCUGUACUUUCACCAAUGUAAUAAUAAUGUAGAAACCAUCCUUACUAUUGGCUGUGUAGCUCAAUAUGGCCUUCUUCUGAUUACACUAUUGUGAUUAGUUCUUU